rnacentral:lncRNA from 10 species
AUGUUGCGAUGGCUGAUCGGGGGAGGCCGAGAACCGCAGGGACUGGCCGAGAAAUCUCCUUUACAGACAAUAGGUGAAGAACAAACCCAGAAUCCCUACACUGAACUGCUAGUACUGAAGGCUCAUCAUGAUAUUGUACGAUUUCUGGUACAGUUAGAUGACUACAGCCUCUCCAGCACCUGUUGUUUCCUGACUUUUUAAUGAUCGCCAUUCUAACUGGUGUGAGAUGAUAUCUCAUUGUGGUUUUGAUUUGCAUUUCUCUGAUGGCCAGUGAUGAUUUGCAUCUGCUGGUGAUGAUGGAAUUGUAGUUGUGUGGAAUGCCCAGACAGGGGAAAAACUUUUAGAACUGAAUGGACACACUCAAAAGAUAACAGCUAUUAUUACAUUUCCUUCCUUGGAAUCUUGUGAAGAGAAAAAUCAACUCAUCUUGACAGCCUCUGCUGAUAGAACAGUUAUUGUGUGGGAUGGUGAUACUACCAGACAAGUUCAGAGAAUAUCAUGCUUCCAGUCUACUGUAAAGUGUUUAACUGUUCUUCAGAGACUAGAUGUUUGGCUUUCUG